AGUCGUGGGGGAAAACGUAGAGAAAUUUACGCUAAUACCGCAUACGAUCUACGGAUGAAAGCGGGGGAUUCGCAAGAACCUCGCGCGAUUGGAGCGGCUGAUAUCAGAUUAGGUUGUUGGGGAGGUAAAAGCUCACCAAGGCGACGAUCUUUAGCUGGUCUGAGAGGAUGAUCAGCCACACUGGGACUGAGACACGGCCCAGACUCCUACGGGAGGCAGCAGUGGGGAAUAUUGGACAAUGGGCGAAAAGCCUGAUCCAGCAAUGCCGCGUGAGUGAUGAAGGCCUUAGGGUUGUAAAGCUCUUUUACCCGGGAAGAUUAUGACUGUACCGGGAGAAUAAGCCCCGGCUUACUCCGUGCCAGCAGACGCGGUAAUACGGAGGGGGCUAGCGUUAUUCGGAAUUACUGGGCGU
rnacentral:rRNA from 1 species